GCUCCUUACCUCGACUGGCACAGGACAGGCCAAUAGAAAUGGCAGCUCAACCUGAAAGCCUUACGGUGAGGCAGAGACAGACAUCUAUCUCGAUUCCUCUGUUUGACCAUUACCAUCUUGCUUUUGAGACCGAUCACUAGACCUCUCAAGCAUUGUAGUUGCAUCACAUACGAAAUAAGUGCCGACCCGCGCAAGUGAACGAGGAAGCUUACCAUUCCGCCGUCGGUCAGUUAUUCAGCUAGGCAGGGUAUCAACGGUCUAACUACGAAAUCUUGAUAUCAAUGCCCGGACUUUCAUCCCACACUAUUUCUUCUUUCGUUUUAAGACCUAAUAAGGAAUUUCAAAAUUCUUCUUCGAAAGCUUUUCAAAUCACAUAAGGCAGACCCGGUAACAUUAGAGUUGAU
rnacentral:misc_RNA from 1 species